UGACUUCACAUUGCAGGAUGUCUGGCUCUAGGUGAGUGAUCACACCAUCAGGAUUAUCUUUGUUGUGAAAAUCUUUUUUGCAACCUGGAGUUAAACUGUUCAUUAAAAUAUUUUUGAUCAUGUCUAUAUACAAUUUGCACCCUAAAUGGCUUAUUUAAGUCUAUAUCCUUAUGCUUCACACAACUGUUAUAGAGUAGGUGUCCAAUAGAGGCUUGUUAAUUUUGCUUCAUAAAGAUUUAAAAAAAAUAAAUAAAUCUCUCAUUGCCAUAUGAUUUAGUCUAACUAAAUUGGUAAUUUUACCCUUACUUAACAUGCUUUUAAAAUGUGCUUCAAUUUUCUACCACCUCUUGAGAAUGACAAGCUUGAGUGUAAAUUCACAGUGCAGACAGUAAAAAGCACAGCUGGCAAACCACAGGGCAAAUUUGCAAGCCCUUGUAAUGCUUGAUUUGGUUCCGUUAAUUACUGUUUAUUUUGAAUAAUUAUGCUAUAGUCUGUAGUUUAAAAAACAUUUUUGUUUGAACAAAUUGAUAGAAAUAUUUAUCAAUGUCUUUAGCUAAUGCUUUAAUUUCCCCUGGAUAAUCGCUGUGGAAUGCGAAAUUUAGAACACUGGUCUCCAUAAUAGGAGUUGAUAUAUGCUUAGCCUCUCUUUAUUUAUUUAUUUAUUUAUUUUAUUUAUUUAUUUGCCUUACCUUGGUUUUGAUGAAACAAUGAAUGUUAGUGGUAAACCUGGGAAUUCUGAUUACCAUCUGUCUGAUCCACCUGCUAAGGCUUUACUUAAACUGAUGCUUAGGUGCUAUUGAACAAAGGCAUUGCUUCUAAGAUAAAAAUAGAUCUAAAAAAUUCUAGUUAUAAUGUUUAAAUAAGUUCCUUUGCCAAGCUUAUUUCCCCCUAAACACAAAGAUUUAAAAAAUAAAAUCUAAGGGAAAAUAUUAUGGUCUCUAAAAACCUUCCACUCUUCUUAGAAUUUUAUUUACACAGUAUUUAUUGCCGCAAGGUGCAUUUUUUUCCCAGUGUUAAUGAAUAAUGCAUUAAAAGAUGAAUUCUUUCUUCUUAGUGAUUGUAGUAGGAAUAGGAAAACACCUCAAUAUUCAACCUUUCAUUCUUGUUAGAUAACUCCCACCUCUGCCCAAUCUAUUAUCUUCUUCUUAAUAUGGUUCAAGGUAUAGGGAGCAUUGACUAGCAUAUGUGCUUGCCAAAAUCAUCCUCUCCAUCCUUUUAAACCCUGAUUCAUUUUUAUAAUUGUACUUUUCCUAACUUUAAUCAAAUGACAGUUGUGCUUUAGUUAUUUAAUAAUAUAUCUAUGGAAGAAUAUGUCUCUUCAACAAGAAACUUGUGGUCAUAACAAAGUGUGUCUCAGAUUUGGGGUACUUUGUGAGUAAUAUUUAGCUAAUGGUCAUGUUGAUGUAUGGCAAAACCAAUGCAAUAUUGUAAAGUGAUUAAUCUCCAAUUAAAACAAAUUUUUUAAAGGAAAUUUUAAAGUAAUAUCAGAAGUAAUGUGACAAUAAAGAUAGCUCCUGCUGCUGCUGCUGCUAAGUGGCUUCAGUCGUGUCCAACUCUGUGCGACNNNNNNNNNNNNNNNNNNNNNNNNNNNNNNNNNNNNNNNNNNNNNNNNNNNGAGUACUGGAGUGGGUUGCCAUUUCCUUCUCCAAUGCAUGAAAGUGAAAGCGUAAGUGAAGUCACUCAGUCCCGACGCUUAGCAAUUAAUGUUUAUUUUCUCCUUACUUCCCCUAAUUUGAUGCCUCAUUCCCCAUCGUAACAUGUUGGUAUUAAAAGAAUGUCUCUGGUUCAGAAAGAAGAACUGAUGUGGAAAGAAUUGACUUUGGGUCAGGAAUUAACCAUUGCACAUUUGAGCAGUCAGGGUCCCAAGAUUUGUGGUGUGUUUUAUUAAUAGAACAAACGAAGCAAACAGAGUCAAAAAUUUUCAUUUAUUUGGGGCCAAUUGUCUUUGAGAAUGAAAAGUAUGAACUAUUUUUCCCUGUAUUUGUGUGUUAGUUGUUCAGUAGUGUCUGUUUCUUUGCUACCCCAUUGACUGUAGCCCACCAAGCUAUUCUGUCCAUGGAAUUCCCCAGGCAAGAAUACUGGAGUGGGUAGCCAUAGGCACAAACGAAAACCUUUUCAGAUUUUCAGAUAUCAGUGACACCAUAGAUUGGAUUAUUUGGUGAUUAAAAUUCAAAGGGAUAUAAACCAAAGUCAGGAAACCAGCAGAUUUAUUUAAGGUUAAAAUUUGGAAAUAUUCCAACAAGGGAAUAAACAUUUAAAAAAAUAUGGCUUACUUCACUAAUACAGUAUACUAACGCAUAUAUAUGGAAUUUAGAAAGAUGGUAA
ensembl:lncRNA